AUUGAACGCUGGCGGCAUGCCUUACACAUGCAAGUCGAACGGCAGCACGGGAGCAAUCCUGGUGGCGAGUGGCGAACGGGUGAGUAAUAUAUCGGAACGUGCCCAGUCGUGGGGGAUAACGUAGCGAAAGCUACGCUAAUACCGCAUACGAUCUAUGGAUGAAAGCGGGGGAUCGCAAGACCUCGCGCGAUUGGAGCGGCCGAUAUCAGAUUAGGUAGUUGGUGAGGUAAAGGCUCACCAAGCCGACGAUCUGUAGCUGGUCUGAGAGGACGACCAGCCACACUGGGACUGAGACACGGCCCAGACUCCUACGGGAGGCAGCAGUGGGGAAUUUUUGGACAAUGGGCGCAAGCCUGAUCCAGCAAUGCCGCGUGCAGGAUGAAGGCCUUC
rnacentral:rRNA from 1 species